rnacentral:rRNA from 1 species
UUGACGUAGACCCGAAACCGGGCGACCUACCCAUGAGCAGGAUGAAGCGAAAGUAAAAUUUCGUGGAGGUCCGAACCCACGAGCGUUGAAAAGCUCGGGGAUGACUUGUGGGUAGCGGUGAAAUUCCAAUCGAGCCCGGAGAUAGCUGGUUCUCCCCGAAAUAGCUUUAGGGCUAGCCUCAAGGUGAGAGAUACGGAGGUAGAGCACUGAAUGUCCUAGGGGGUAUUGCACCUACCGAAGACUAUCAAACUCCGAAUGCCGUCAUCUUAUACUUGGGAGUCAGACUGUGGGUGAUAAGAUUCAUAGU